rnacentral:rRNA from 1 species
AUUGAACGCUGGCGGCAUGCCUUACACAUGCAAGUCGAACGGCAGCAUGGAGAGCUUGCUCUCUGAUGGCGAGUGGCGAACGGGUGAGUAAAGCAUCGGAACGUACCGUGUAGUGGGGGAUAACGUAGCGAAAGUUGCGCUAAUACCGCAUACGCACUGAGGUGGAAAGCAGGGGAUCGUAAGACCUUGCGCUAUACGAGCGGCCGAUGUCAGAUUAGCUAGUUGGUAGGGUAAAGGCCUACCAAGGCGACGAUCUGUAGCGGGUCUGAGAGGAUGAUCCGCCACACUGGGGCUGAGACACGGCCCAGACUCCUACGGGAGGCAGCAGGGGGGAAUUUUGGACAAUGGGGGCAACCCUGAUCCAGCCAUGCCGCGUGAGUGAAGAAGGCCUUCGGGUUGUAAAGCUCUUUCGGCCGGGAAGAAAUCGCACAGGCUAAUACCCUGUGUGGAUGACGGUACCGGCAUAAGAAGCACCGGCUAACUACGUGCCAGCCGCCGCCGUAA